rnacentral:rRNA from 1 species
AGCGUACACGGUGGAUGCCCUGGCAGUCAGAGGCGAUGAAGGACGUGCUAAUCUGCGAUAAGCGUCGGUAAGGUGAUAUGAACCGUUAUAACCGGCGAUUUCCGAAUGGGGAAACCCAGUGUGUUUCGACACACUAUCAUUAACUGAAUCCAUAGGUUAAUGAGGCGAACCGGGGGAACUGAAACAUCUAAGUACCCCGAGGAAAAGAAAUCAACCGAGAUUCCCCCAGUAGCGGCGAGCGAACGGGGAGGAGCCCAGAGCCUGAAUCAGUGUGUGUGUUAGUGGAAGCGUCUGGAAAGGCGCGCGAUACAGGGUGACAGCCCCGUACACAAAAAUGCACAUAUUGUGAGCUCGAUGAGUAGGGCGGGACACGUGGUAUCCUGUCUGAAUAUGGGGGGACCAUCCUCCAAGGCUAAAUACUCCUGACUGACCGAUAGUGAACCAGUACCGUGAGGGAAAGGCGAAAAGAACCCCGGCGAGGGGAGUGAAAAAGAACCUGAAACCGUGUACGUACAAGCAGUGGGAGCCUCUUUUAUGGGGUGACUGCGUACCUUUUGUAUAAUGGGUCAGCGACUUAUAUUCUGUAGCAAGGUUAACCGAAUAGGGGAGCCGAAGGGAAACCGAGUCUUAACUGGGCGUUAAGUUGCAGGGUAUAGACCCGAAACCCGGUGAUCUAGCCAUGGGCAGGUUGAAGGUUGGGUAACACUAACUGGAGGACCGAACCGACUAAUGUUGAAAAAUUAGCGGAUGACUUGUGGCUGGGGGUGAAAGGCCAAUCAAACCGGGAGAUAGCUGGUUCUCCCCGAAAGCUAUUUAGGUAGCGCCUCGUGAAUUCAUCUCCGGGGGUAGAGCACUGUUUCGGCAAGGGGGUCAUCCCGACUUACCAACCCGAUGCAAACUGCGAAUACCGGAGAAUGUUAUCACGGGAGACACACGGCGGGUGCUAACGUCCGUCGUGAAGAGGGAAACAACCCAGACCGCCAGCUAAGGUCCCAAAGUCAUGGUUAAGUGGGAAACGAUGUGGGAAGGCCCAGACAGCCAGGAUGUUGGCUUAGAAGCAGCCAUCAUUUAAAGAAAGCGUAAUAGCUCACUGGUCGAGUCGGCCUGCGCGGAAGAUGUAACGGGGCUAAACCAUGCACCGAAGCUGCGGCAGCGACACUAUGUGUUGUUGGGUAGGGGAGCGUUCUGUAAGCCUGUGAAGGUGUACUGUGAGGUAUGCUGGAGGUAUCAGAAGUGCGAAUGCUGACAUAAGUAACGAUAAAGCGGGUGAAAAGCCCGCUCGCCGGAAGACCAAGGGUUCCUGUCCAACGUUAAUCGGGGCAGGGUGAGUCGACCCCUAAGGCGAGGCCGAAAGGCGUAGUCGAUGGGAAACAGGUUAAUAUUCCUGUACUUGGUGUUACUGCGAAGGGGGGACGGAGAAGGCUAUGUUGGCCGGGCGACGGUUGUCCCGGUUUAAGCGUGUAGGCUGGUUUUCCAGGCAAAUCCGGAAAAUCAAGGCUGAGGCGUGAUGACGAGGCACUACGGUGCUGAAGCAACAAAUGCCCUGCUUCCAGGAAAAGCCUCUAAGCAUCAGGUAACAUCAAAUCGUACCCCAAACCGACACAGGUGGUCAGGUAGAGAAUACCAAGGCGCUUGAGAGAACUCGGGUGAAGGAACUAGGCAAAAUGGUGCCGUAACUUCGGGAGAAGGCACGCUGAUAUGUAGGUGAAGUCCCUCGCGGAUGGAGCUGAAAUCAGUCGAAGAUACCAGCUGGCUGCAACUGUUUAUUAAAAACACAGCACUGUGCAAACACGAAAGUGGACGUAUACGGUGUGACGCCUGCCCGGUGCCGGAAGGUUAAUUGAUGGGGUCAGCGCAAGCGAAGCUCUUGAUCGAAGCCCCGGUAAACGGCGGCCGUAACUAUAACGGUCCUAAGGUAGCGAAAUUCCUUGUCGGGUAAGUUCCGACCUGCACGAAUGGCGUAAUGAUGGCCAGGCUGUCUCCACCCGAGACUCAGUGAAAUUGAACUCGCUGUGAAGAUGCAGUGUACCCGCGGCAAGACGGAAAGACCCCGUGAACCUUUACUAUAGCUUGACACUGAACAUUGAGCCUUGAUGUGUAGGAUAGGUGGGAGGCUUAGAAGUGUGGACGCCAGUCUGCAUGGAGCCGACCUUGAAAUACCACCCUUUAAUGUUUGAUGUUCUAACGUGGACCCGUGAUCCGGGUUGCGGACAGUGUCUGGUGGGUAGUUUGACUGGGGCGGUCUCCUCCUAAAGAGUAACGGAGGAGCACGAAGGUUGGCUAAUCCUGGUCGGACAUCAGGAGGUUAGUGCAAUGGCAUAAGCCAGCUUGACUGCGAGCGUGACGGCGCGAGCAGGUGCGAAAGCAGGUCAUAGUGAUCCGGUGGUUCUGAAUGGAAGGGCCAUCGCUCAACGGAUAAAAGGUACUCCGGGGAUAACAGGCUGAUACCGCCCAAGAGUUCAUAUCGACGGCGGUGUUUGGCACCUCGAUGUCGGCUCAUCACAUCCUGGGGCUGAAGUAGGUCCCAAGGGUAUGGCUGUUCGCCAUUUAAAGUGGUACGCGAGCUGGGUUUAGAACGUCGUGAGACAGUUCGGUCCCUAUCUGCCGUGGGCGCUGGAGAACUGAGGGGGGCUGCUCCUAGUACGAGAGGACCGGAGUGGACGCAUCACUGGUGUUCGGGUUGUCAUGCCAAUGGCACUGCCCGGUAGCUAAAUGCGGAAGAGAUAAGUGCUGAAAGCAUCUAAGCACGAAACUUGCCCCGAGAUGAGUUCU